rnacentral:rRNA from 1 species
UACGUAGGGGGCUAGCGUUGUCCGGAAUCAUUGGGCGUAAAGCGCGUGUAGGCGGCCCGGUAAGUCCGCUGUGAAAACUCGAGGCUCAACCUCGAGACGUCGGUUGAAACCACCUGGCUAGAGUCCGGAAGAGGAGUGUGGAAUUCCCGGUGUAGCGGUGGAAUGCGCAGAUAUCGGGAGGAACACCCGUGGCGAAGGCGGCACUCUGGGACGGUACUGACGCUGAGGUGCGAAAGCGUGGGGAGCAAACAGG